UAACGAUACGGGACUCAUCCGAGGCCCCGUAAUCGGAAUGAGUACACUUUAAAUCCUUUAACGAGGACCCAUUGGAGGGCAAGUCUGGUGCCAGCAGCCGCGGUAAUUCCAGCUCCAAUAGCGUAUAUUAAAGUUGUUGCGGUUAAAAAGCUCGUAGUUGAAUCUGUGUGCCACGCUGUUGGUUCAUCGCUCGCGAUGUUUAACUGACAUGAUUGUGGGACGUCCUACCGGUGGGCUUAGCUCCUCACGGGGCGGUCCAGCUAAUAUCCCAUCGCGGUGCUCUUCAUCGAGUGUCGAGGUGGGCCGGUACGUUUACUUUGAACAAAUUAGAGUGCUCAAAGCAGGCUAUGUUUGCCUGAAUACUGCGUGCAUGGAAUAAUGGAAUAGGACCUCGGUUCUAUUUUGUUGGUUUUCGGAACAUUGAGGUAAUGAUUAAUAGGGACAGAUGGGGGCAUUCGUAUUGCGACGUUAGAGGUGAAAUUCUUGGAUCGUCGCAAGACGGACAGAAGCGAAAGCAUUUGCCAAAAAUGUUUUCAUUAAUCAAGAACGAAAGUUAGAGGUUCGAAGGCGAUCAGAUACCGCCCUAGUUCUAACCAUAAACGAUGCCAGCUAGCGAUCCGCCGAAGUUCCUCCGAUGACUCGGCGGGCAGCUUCCGGGAAACCAAAGCUUUUGGGUUCCGGGGGAAGUAUGGUUGCAAAGCUGAAACUUAAAGGAAUUGACGGAAGGGCACCACCAGGAGUGGAGCCUGCGGCUUAAUUUGACUCAACAC
rnacentral:rRNA from 1 species